UUUUACCUCGGGACGCAGCAGUGAGGAAUAUUGGUCAAUGGGAGAGAUCCUGAACCAGCCAAGCCGCGUGAGGGAAGACGGCCCUAUGGGUUGUAAACCUCUUUUGUCGGAGAACAAAACCCGGGACGUGUCCCGGACUGCGUGUAUCCGAAGAAAAAGCAUCGGCUAACUCCGUGCCAGCAGCCGCGGUAAUACGGAGGAUGCGAGCGUUAUCCGGAUUUAUUGGGUUUAAAGGGUGCGUAGGCGGUCCGUUAAGUCAGCGGUAAAAUUGCGGGGCUCAACCCUGUCGAGCCGUUGAGACUGGC
rnacentral:rRNA from 1 species